rnacentral:rRNA from 1 species
UACGUAGGGUGCAAGCGUUGUCCGGAAUUACUGGGCGUAAAGCGUGCGUAGACGGUUAUUUAAGUCGGGUGUGAAAGCCCCGGGCUCAACCUGGGAAUUGCAUUCGAGACUGAAUAGCUAGGGUACGGUAGAGGGAAGUGGAAUUUCCGGUGUAGCGGUGAAAUGCGUAGAUAUCGGAAGGAACAUCAGUGGCGAAAGCGACUUCCUGGACCAGUACCGACGUUCAGGCACGAAAGCGUGGGGAGCAAACAGG